CUCUAAUUCCUAUGCUGUUUCACGGGUCACAAAGAGGAUCAUAGAGAUGAGAGGACGGAGUAUAGUCUGUCGUCUCCGACGGUGUUGCUGCAAUGCGUCUUCCGCGCUGACGUGAGCCGUUGGUUCUCUUGCAGGACCUCCCACAUUAAAAGGGCUGAAGUGGAGUCACAGAAUUGAAAGGAAUAAGGCAAAUGAUAUUGGAAAGAGUCAUGUAGGCACCAAAGCCACCUCAUUGCAAAGAGCAGCUUCAUUGAUGAGGAUGUUCUCGGUGAUAGGCAGUCCAUCAUGAAGGGGAAGUCACAGUAGCAGGAGCUUGAGGGAGCUAGUCACAUGACAUCUGCAACCAGGAAACAGAGAGGUGAAUGCUGGUGCUUAGCUACAUGCUCCUUUUUACUCAAUCCAACACUACAACCCAUGGGAUGGUGCUACCCACAGUUAAGACUGGUGAAGUCAGGAUCUCUUUGGGUAUCAGUUGAAUUACGACCUUGAGACUAAAGUGAUUAAUAUAGAAAUUAAACUUCUCAGGAGCUUCUAGACUCAGAUUUGUGGAGUAUAUUAUGUUAUCAAAUCAGUAAGCAGAUCGCCUGCAUUCUUACUUAUUCCAGAGGCUGAAGCAGGAGGAAGAUCACUUGCACCUAGGAGUUCGAAACCAGCCAGAGCAACACAGCAAGACUCUAAGACUCUGACCAAAAAAAAAAAAAAA